UACAGAGGUCUCAAGCGUUGUUCGGAUUCAUUGGGCGUAAAAGGUGCGUAGGCGGCGCGGUAAGUCGGGUGUGAAAUCUCGGAGCUUAACUCCGAAACUGCAUUCGAUACUGCCGUGCUUGAGGACUGGAGAGGAGACUGGAAUUUACGGUGUAGCGGUGAGAUGCGUAGAUAUCGUAAGGAAGACCAGUGGCGAAGGCGGGUCUCUGGACAGUUCCUGACGCUGAGGCACGAAGGUCAGGGGAGCAAACGGG
rnacentral:rRNA from 1 species